rnacentral:rRNA from 1 species
AGCGAAAGCUUUGCUAAUACCGCAUACGAUCUACGGAUGAAAGCAGGGGACCGCAAGGCCUUGCGCGGACGGAGCGGCCGAUGGCAGAUUAGGUAGUUGGUGGGAUAAAAGCUUACCAAGCCGACGAUCUGUAGCUGGUCUGAGAGGACGACCAGCCACACUGGGACUGAGACACGGCCCAGACUCCUACGGGAGGCAGCAGUGGGGAAUUUUGGACAAUGGGCGAAAGCCUGAUCCAGCCAUGCCGCGUGCAGGAUGAAGGCCUUCGGGUUGUAAACUGCUUUUGUACGGAACGAAAAGACUCUUUCUAAUAAAGAGGGUCCAUGACGGUACCGUAAGAAUAAGCACCGGCUAACUACGUGCCAGCAGCCGCGGUAAUACGUAGGGUGCAAGCGUUAAUCGGAAUUACUGGGCGUAAAGCGUGCGCAGGCGGUUAUGUAAGACAGAUGUGAAAUCCCCGGGCUCAACCUGGGAACUGCAUUUGUGACUGCAUAGCUAGAGUACGGUAGAGGGGGAUGGAAUUCCGCGUGUAGCAGUGAAAUGCGUAGAUAUGCGGAGGAACACCGAUGGCGAA